GCCCCUUCCUUGCCUCUUCCAGCUUCUGGUGGCCCCAGGCCAUCCCUGGCUUGCAGAUACGUGGCUCCCAUCUCUGCCUCGGUCUUCACAUGGGGCCUCCCGUCUAUGUCUCUCUGUGUGUCCCGUCCUCUUUUUACAGGGACACCAGUCAUUGGAUAAGGGCUAAUGAUCCUAAUCCAGUGUGAGCUCAUCUUAAUUAAUUACAUCUGCAAAUGCCCCAUCUCCAGUUGCAGAGUCAAACCCAUCCUGGUAUCAACCUGCUUUUAGUACUUCCAGAUUCGUAAGUCAAGAAAUCCUCCUUCCUGCUUGUACCAGUUGGCAGUGGGUUUUCUGGCAUUUGUACCUGGUAUGUGUAGCAGCAACCACCAUUCUACUCUCUGUUUGAAUGAGUUUGAAACAUCCACAUCUGAGUGAGGUCAAUGCCGGUGAACAGAGAGACAGAGGGAAAGAAUUUCAGAAUAUCCUUAAAAAUCGCAGCACCUGGCAGAUCCUGCCUCACACCUCAAGGGCCUGUGUGGGGUCCUAGGUUCAUCCCUGAUCCAUCUCAGAGGUGCGGCGAUCACUGAUCCAUCUCGGAGACUUUUGAGCUUGGACCUGACAUUUGCCACUUCCUCUCCUCCUCACUGGAGACAGAGUGCAAUCUGUUUCUGCAAAGCAAGAGCACUUUAAGAGGGUGGAAGGGCACUCAUCUGUGUCAGGGUCAUGUCUGUGUGCAGAUCCCCCAAGGUCAUUGUUGAGAGAAAGGGGAAGAUGUUGGGGAGGCCGGGCAAGCAUGUGCCGGCUACCCUCACACUUGCACAUAGCAUAUGUCAAGUCACCUAAAGGAAACCUGAAUGA
rnacentral:lncRNA from 1 species